CUUGCAGCUUGUGUCGGGAGUUGCAGACAGCCAUGGCCCAUGGGCCUGGCGCUGACGGACCCUGGAGCGGUGUCUGAGGGAGGUGGGCAAAGCCACUGGCUGGCCCGAGUGCAUCCUCACGUUUCAAGCUGGAUUGGAACCAAAGUUCACUUCUUUAACGAAAGUGCUUUAUGACUUUAAUAAAACAGUAGAGAAUGGUAGAAUCCAUGGCAGCUCUUUACAAAAACUUGUGAUAGAAAGUUUUGAUGAUGAGCAGACUUUGCAACAACUGGAAUUGCAAAAUGAAGCAAUUUUACAGUGCUUCCAGAAUGCGGUUAGUGAAAGAAAGAUGAAGAUAUCAGUCUUCUCCCAGAGAGUGAAGAACAGGAGCAUGAAGAGGCUGGUUCAGAAACAGAGGCUGAUGGCCAGGAGGACCUAGAAGAUUUAGAGGAGGAGGAGGACGUGUCAGAUAUGGGUGGUGACAAUCCUGAAAUGGAUGAAUGACAAAAAUUACAUCUUUAGAAAAAGAGUUGUUAGAAAAAAGCCUUGGCUGCAUGUGGGGGAAGUGACAGCACAGAAGAGACCAGAGAAGAGCCUCCUGGAGGAGAGCCUGCACUUUGACCAUGCUGUCCGGAUGGGU